GGUUGAUCCUGCCGGAGGUCACUGCUAUUGGGAUUCGACUAAGCCAUGCGAGUCGAGAGGGUUCGGCCCUCGGCAGACGGCUCAGUAACACGUGGAUAAUCUGCCCUUAGGUGGAGGAUAACCUCGGGAAACUGAGAAUAAUACUCCAUAGAUCUUGGAUGCUGGAAUGCACUUAGAUUGAAAGUUCCGACGCCUAAGGAUGAGUCUGCGGACUAUCAGGUAGUAGUUAGGGUAAAGACCUGACUAGCCUAUGACGGAUACGGGUUGUGAGAGCAGUAACCCGGAGACGAUAUCUGAGACACGAUAUCGGGCCCUACGGGGCGCAGCAGGCGCGAAACCUUCACAAUGUGCGAAAGCACGAUGAGGGGAUCCCAAGCGCUUGCUCGUAAGAGUAAGCUGU
rnacentral:rRNA from 1 species